rnacentral:tRNA from 1 species
GUGAGUAUAGCUCAGUGGUAGAGCACAUGCUUAGCAUGCACAAGGUCCUGGGUUCAAUCCCCAGUACUUCCA